rnacentral:rRNA from 1 species
UACGGAAGGUCCAGGCGUUAUCCGGAUUUAUUGGGUUUAAAGGGAGCGUAGGCGGACGAUUAAGUCAGCUGUGAAAGUUUGCGGCUCAACCGUAAAAUUGCAGUUGAAACUGUUUGUCUUGAGUGCACGCAGGGAUGUUGGAAUUCAUGGUGUAGCGGUGAAAUGCUUAGAUAUCAUGAAGAACUCCGAUCGCGAAGGCAUAUGUCCGGAGUGCAACUGACGCUGAGGCUCGAAAGUGCGGGUAUCGAACAGG